GCGCGGCUCAGAGAUGGGUUUCUGGACUCGCGAAGCAGCUGCAACAAGGCAUCACUCACUGUAUAAGUAUUUCCAUUUCUGAGAGCAAAAGGAAGAACUUAAGCGGGCGGCACUUGGAGUGUAAAUUGCUUUGUAGUAUUUAAAGGCAGAAUGGAUCCUGGGCAGCCGAGCUGAGUUGCUUCCCCCUUCUUUACUCCGAAAAAUCAACUUUUGAGCUUUUUCUUAAAUCCUAUAUCUCCUGGGAGGCUUUUUCUAACUCAUACACAAAGAUAGAUAUUCUGAAGCCUUAAAUUUGUACCUUGGUCACAAUCAUGAGGUUCCUGAGGCCUCCUAGCCAUGCUUCCUGUGCAGCCUAUGGAACUGAUCACUGUUGUAUUUUUAAACCUUAUUCCUGGAAGCACUACGGAUAUCAGAUCAAUUUAGAAAGCCAAAGAGUACCUCUGGGAAUGAAAUGGUAGUAAUAGAAACAAUAUUUGGCCAAACUAUCGCUGUAUGCCAAUGAUGCCAAAAAUCACAGUAACCUGGCAGCAACAAACCGGCAGGACUUCCUGUGAAAUCAUGACCACCAUGUGCUCUUUCAGCCUCUAUCAGUUCCUACCUCUAAGCACCUGAGAGCCAAAGCAAACCACAGGAAACCACAGGCCUUUGGAGUCAGACUGGAACUACAGCAUUGACUCUUCCGGAACUCCAGCUUACUGACUACAGAUCUUGGAACUUUUCAGCUUCCACAACCAUAAUGAAAGCCAAGCAUAUUCCAUCAUUUCCUAAAACCAAGAUAGAGCACAUAUGGGAACUUGUGAAAUAAGGAUGCCCUGCGGUUGUUUUCAGGACUGAAGACAACAGCUCCACGAUGUAUCUUUGCAUAAGAAUACACUUGUAUAAUAAGUUUUUUUUUUUAGAGAAAUUGCAUGUAUCUGCCUUAUAAACUUUUUCAUUCAUUCAUUUUCUUUCUUCCUAAUCUGUUCCAUAAAGCAAAUUUCUAACUUAUUGUUAAUCAAAAUAAUUAUUGAAAUAAUUAGUACUUUCAUAUGAUAAAGAUUAUUUUAAUCUGCAGCUACAA
rnacentral:lncRNA from 1 species